GAUGAAGAACGCAGCGAAAUGCGAUAAGUAAUGUGAAUUGCAGAAUUCAGUGAAUCAUCAAAUCUUUGAACGCACAUUGCGCCCGCUAGUAUUCUGGCGGGCAUGCCUGUUCGAGCGUCAUUUCAACCAUCAAGCCCUGUUUAGGCUUGUGUUGGGGCCCUGCGGCUGCCGCAGCCCCCUAAAUGCAGUGGCGGGCUCGUUGUCACUCCGAGCGCAGUAGCGUAUCUCGCUCUGGGCGUGGCGGCGGGUGCUAGCCGUGAAACACCCACUAAGGUUGACCUCGGAUCAGGUAGGAAUACCCGCUGAACUUAAGCAUAUCAAUAAGCGGAGGA
rnacentral:misc_RNA from 1 species